UUUGACUCUUCGUCUUAUUCAAUAUUUUGCGAUUGAUAUUUUUGUUUUUAUUAGAUGAUAAAUCAUGAAUAAUACUUUACGUGUGACUACUUUUUUCUAAUUUCUUGAAAAUUUUUCAAAUAAGACGGAUGGUCAAA
rnacentral:pre_miRNA from 1 species